rnacentral:lncRNA from 1 species
GAAAAUUGAGUCGGACAAUCUCGUCGAAACUUUUCUAGAUAGCCUCAUCGAAUUAGGACUCUAUCUUAUCCCUGAGUUGAAUGCAUUGUUCGGUAUUGUAACCAUGAUCAUAGUGAAAUCGACAGUACUUUUUCUUAUUGCGACUCCUCGAUGGUGCCUUCAUUGAUGGGGGGUGACGGAGGUACUCCUCUCUCUCAAUCUCAAUCAGAAUCUACGCAUUGAGAGUAAAAAGAGGAGUAUAAGAGUCAUACCUGCUGCCAUAAUUAUUUGGCCUU